GAUGAACGCUGGCGGCGUGCUUAACACAUGCAAGUCGAGCGAGAAGUUUUGAACAGAUUCUUCGGAUGAAAUUUAAAAUGGAAAGCGGCGGACGGGUGAGUAACGCGUAGGCAACCUGCCCCAUACAAAGGGAUAGCAUUUGGAAACGAAUAUUAAUACCUUAUGAAACUUAACUAGUGCAUGCUAGGUAGGUCAAAGAUUUAUCGGUAUGGGAUGGGCCUGCGUCUGAUUAGCUAGUUGGUGAGGUAACGGCUCACCAAGGCGACGAUCAGUAGCCGACCUGAGAGGGUGAACGGCCACAUUGGAACUGAGACACGGUCCAAACUCCUACGGGAGGCAGCAGUGGGGAAUAUUGCACAAUGGGGGAAACCCUGAUGCAGCAACGCCGCGUGAACGAUGAAGGCCUUUGGGUCGUAAAGUUCUGUUCUAGGUGAUGAAAACUGACAGUAGCCUAGGAGAAAGCCCCGGCUAACUCCGUG
rnacentral:rRNA from 1 species